GAUUCCGUAGCUCAGCAGGUAGAGCAUAUGCCUUUUAAGCAUAGGGUCCUGGGUUCGAGCCCCAGCGGGAUCA
rnacentral:tRNA from 1 species